rnacentral:rRNA from 1 species
UACGAAGGGGGCUAGCGUUGCUCGGAAUCACUGGGCGUAAAGGGUGCGUAGGCGGGUCUUUAAGUCAGGGGUGAAAUCCUGGAGCUCAACUCCAGAACUGCCUUUGAUACUGGCGAUCUUGAGUCCGGAAGAGGUGAGUGGAACUCCUAGUGUAGAGGUGGAAUUCGUAGAUAUUAGGAAGAACACCAGUGGCGAAGGCGGCUCACUGGUCCGGUACUGACGCUGAGGUGCGAAAGCGUGGGGAGCAAACAGG